UUACGGUUUAUAUCCAUUUUCUUUAAUGUUAUACAUAACGUUUAAGACCGUUAUGAAAGUUUAAUAUUAACCGUUAUGUGUACAAUCUAUACAUAACAGUUGUUUUUUUUAAUAACACUUAUUUAUCCGUUAUGUAUAAUGUUUUACAUAACGUGUUUAAUCCGUAAUUAAAUUUUUAUUUCUUUGUUAUUUAUUUGUUUUUACAUAACGGUUUUCUUCAUAUACAUUACACUCAUCUGUGUGAUCUUUGAAUGUUAUAAUAACAUCAAAUCGAUGUUUAGAUAACGUUUUUUAACGUUAUGUAUGUUUUAAUACAUAACAGUUAUAUAUUUUAAAUUUUUCGUUUUGUAUGCUAAUGACAGCUUUUAAUUAUAAUUGAUUUGCAAUUAAAAUUAAUUCUAAAACAACAAAAUAAUAAAAACCAACCAAUCAUAUGCAACCACCAUCCAACCAUAUAACUUCACAAAAUAUUUGUACAAUCACCA
rnacentral:lncRNA from 1 species